rnacentral:rRNA from 1 species
GAUGAACGCUGGCGGCGUGCCUAAUACAUGCAAGUCGAGCGAACGGACGAGAAGCUUGCUUUUCUGAUGUUAGCGGCGGACGGGUGAGUAACACGUGGAUAACCUACCUAUAAGACUGGGAUAACUUCGGGAAACCGGAGCUAAUACCGGAUAAUAUUUUGAACCGCAUGGUUCAAAAGUGAAAGACGGUCUUGCUGUCACUUAUAGAUGGAUCCGCGCUGCAUUAGCUAGUUGGUAAGGUAACGGCUUACCAAGGCAACGAUGCAUAGCCGACCUGAGAGGGUGAUCGGCCACACUGGAACUGAGACACGGUCCAGACUCCUACGGGAGGCAGCAGUAGGGAAUCUUCCGCAAUGGGCGAAAGCCUGACGGAGCAACGCCGCGUGAGUGAUGAGGGUCUUCGGAUCGUAAAACUCUGUUAUUAGGGAAGAACAUAUGUGUAAGUAACUGUGCACAUCUUGACGGUACCUAAUCAGAAAGCCACGGCUAACUACGUG